rnacentral:lncRNA from 1 species
CCAUUUUCUACGAUGUUGAUCCGUCCAGUGUACGCAAACAGAGCGGAGACUUCGGGAUCGCUUUUGAGAAAACCUGUGAAGGUGAAACAGAGGAAGUGAAACAGAGAUGGGUCGAAGCUUUGACAUGUGUAGCAACCAUAGCUGGAGAACACUCUCGUAACUGGUUUGUUUUUGAGCUCAAUGAACCUGCAGAAAUCCUUUUUUAAUUAUCUUUCGUUUAAGAUUUUGUUUUUUUUUUUCAGGACUGAUGAAGCUGCUAUGGUGGAAAAGCUUUCCACAGACGUCUCGAACAAACUGAGAUUGGAAGAGAUUAAGAAAGAGUUUAGGGAAUGCGAUGUGGACCAGAAUGGUUUCAUAACUGCAGCAGAGCUUCGAUAUGUGUUGACAAAAGAUGGGGGUGAAUUUACUGAUGAGCAAGUUCGUGAUAUCAUUCGAGUAGCUGAUGUUGAUGGCGAUGGUCAGAUCAACUAUGAUGAAUUUGCCAAAUUCAGGACUCUUGUGUGAGGGUUUCUUAAAAGCCAAGAAAACAAAAAGUGUCUUACAGUGAAAUCUUAUUGCAAUCUAAUAAAAAUAAGUUUUUUUUUUUUUCGUUUGUUAGGAUGGCUGAUGAAGAUGCUGCGAGCGAAAAGCUUUCUACAGAUAUCUUGAACAAACUGAGAGUGGAAGAUAUGAAGGAAGAAUUUAGGAAAUACGAUGUAGACAAGAAUGGUUUCAUAACUGAAGCAGAGCUUCGAUAUGUGAUGACAAAAGAUGGGGGGAAAGUAACCGAUGAAGAAGUUGAUGAGAUAAUCCGAAAAGCUGACGUUGAUGGCGAUGGUCAGAUCAACUAUGAUGAAUUUGCCAAAUUUACCAUAGCUAAGUGAGGCAUUCUUAAUUAAAUCUUUUUUUUAAAAAAAAAAAAACCUUAAUUAACCUGAAGGAAAAAAGAAGAAGGAAAAAGUGUGUCUUACAUUGAAUUUUCAUCAUGAUUUAAUUAGAACGCUUUUGUGUCUUUUUAAUUUUUGUAGGGAGGCUGAUGAAGAAGCUGCGAUGGUUCGAAAGUUUGCCACAGAUGUUACACUGUCGAGGGAGGAAGAGAAAGAAAUUAAGGAAUUAUUUACGGGUUUAGAUGUAGACCAGAAUGGUUUCAUAACUGCAGCAGAGUUUCAAUAUGUGAUGAAAAAUAGUGGGAGCAAACUAACCGAUAAGGAAAUUCGUAAUUUCUUCCGAAGAGCUGAUGUUGAUGGCGAUGGUCAUCUCAACUACGAUGAAUUCGUCAAAGUCAUGACGGCUGAGUGAGACAUUCUUAACCCUUUAUAGAUAAAGCCUUUGUUUAUAAUGUAAAACGGCUUUGUCUUUUUUUUUAAAAAUCGAUGAUUCAGUCGUGGAGUUUCUAUAAUCUUAUAAGAUUCUGUUUUUUUUUUUUCUUUUUUGUUAGAAGGAGGAGGGCUGAUGAGGAAGCUGCGAGGGUCGAAAAGACUGCAACAGAUGUCUUGAACAAAGUGAAUAAAUUCGUCAAAUUCAUGGUGAAAGCUUUAUCUUGAAGAAAAAAGAAUAACGAUUUACGAAUGUCUAAGUAAAUUUUCAUCAUGACUUGAACCUGGCUGUCUUCUUUAGGACAUGUUUUUACUUCUUUAAUUUCCACCUUCUAUUUGGUUGCUUUGUUAAGCUCUUCAAUUAAUGUUAUGUCAAGUAUGAACUCAUGUUUUGCCCAUCUUGUGACACUUGAUUUUCUCUCUUUGUUUUAUUUGUUUCUAUAUUUCUCUUGUUUUUUUUCUUCAAUAUAAUGUACUACAAAUUGGCCGCCAAGACGUCUAGGGUAGUUGAAAAAUACUCAAACGACACAAGUUUAACCGGUAAAAAUUUGGUCAAAGAAAAAGGUCAACGUUCGAUUAGUCUCUCACAAAUCACAAGAAGAAAGAUUCCUGAUCUUUAUCGCAAGAGGAAGCAAGAGACUGUAUUUUAAAACGAGAUCUCGUUUUAAAACUAAACUAAAUUCUAAUUCCGUGCGUUUGCACAAGAAAUUUUCUUUGUUUAACGAAUUUCGUAAUAUAAUUUACGUUUUUUGAGUUUAGAUAUAAUUAUUUUUAUAGAUAAAUUCUUUUAAUAAAUAAAAAUAUUUAUUUUUUAAUUUAGAUAUAAUUUGCUUUUUGUAAAUUUUUUUAUAAUAUCAAAGAUAAUUGUGAUUAUUAAAAAUAUAAUUUUACCAUGUCCAUUCAUAUUAAUCUCAAAAAACUAUGAUUAUAAAAUUAUAAUUUUAACUUGUCCGUUCAUAUUACUUUAUAUUAUAAAUAUUUAUUAAAAUUUGUAUUUUAUUUUAUAAAUAGUAUUUCAACAGUAUUUUAUUUAUCAUGAAAUAUUUUAUAAAUAGUUUUCUAAAUUUAAUCUAUAAUAAAUGUAUGUAAUAAUUUUUAAUUUAUUUUUUAUGUUUUUCAUUUUGUAUAAAAAUAUAUUUUGGUUUAUAUUUAUGAUUUAAAAUUAGUGAUUUUAGCUACCAAAAUAUUUUUAACUCGGUUUUUAUAUAUAUUUUUAGUUCUAUGAAUUAUAAAUAUGAUUUAUAUUGGAUUGUUUUGGGAAGCAAUGAUGGUUCUUGCAAAAUCUGGGAUGCCAAAGAAAGAACUUGCUUCAAGACUCCGAUUGAUAAUAAAUCUCAUGAUGUUUCCUUCGCCAAAUUCUCUCCUAAUGGGAAAUUCAUCCUUGUUGCCACUCUUGAUAGUACCCUCGUAAGUUGAAAAAUUCAGUUCCAAAUUUUGUAAUGUUAAAUUUGGUUUGAAUGAUCGCUUAGGCUAUGAACACACGAAAAGUAAAGAAUCUAACUCCUUGUUGGAUUAAUCUGUGAUAAAUUCUGAAUAUGAAUUGAAGAAUGUAGAGUUUUGGUUUGAAAGAUCACUUAGGUUCUGAAAUUUUACAUGAUUUAGAUUCAAACUGUUAUGGUUUUGUCUUUGAUGGGUUCUUGCAUUAGUCUUCUAUGUUUGAUCUUGAUCAUGAUUUAGAAGUUGUGGUCGACAGUAGCAGGAAACAAACAAAAAUUAACCAUAGAACUUAUGAUAUGCAGCUCUUCUCAUGAACUUUUGAUUGACAGUAGCUCUUCUUGUAGAUAUUUCAUUCUCUAAGAAAAGAAAAAAAAGGUGGCACGAAUGAUUAAAUCUUGAUCUAGAGAGAUUGUGCCAAGAAACCAGCUGAGGCGUUAUUUUUGAUGGAAUGACCUUUAUAUGGUUAAAAUUUUAGGAAAUCUUUAUAAACAUUUAUGAAGAUUUCCCUAAAAGUUCAGAAAGACAUCCUAACUCUUUUAAAAAUGUCAGAUAUAUUUUAUUAAACAUUAGUAAAGCUUGUAAACCUACAUUGAGUGGAAUUUCCUAAUCAUUUAGCAACCAUUCACAAACCCGUGUAUCUUCUAUGGUCUAUGCAUCACUUCUCUUGAAACUAUUUGUGUUUUUUUUUUUUCUUUUUUGGGGUCAUCAGGUUUUAUAGCUGAGAGCCUCUCGGAAGAAGAGAUUGCUGGUUUAAGAUAAUUGUUUCAGGCAAUGGAUAUUGAUAACAGCGGCGCUAUUAAGUUUGAUGAACUCAAAACUAGGCUGAGGAAAUAUGGAUCAACCUUGAAAGACACAGAGAUCCAUUAUCUCAUGGAAGCGGUAAAAUCUAAUCUCAUUUGGCUACAAAAUGAAAGUUAAUUAUUGUGUGCUUUCAGUGACGAGCUCUUGUAUUGGCCAGGCUGAUGUGGAAAACAGUAGGACAAUUGAUUACAGUGAGUUCAUUGCAGCUACUAGCCAUAUAAACUAACUGGAGCAGGAAGAACAUCUUGUCGCUAGGUUUUAAUACUUUGACAGACGGAAGCGCUUCCUAAAACAUUAGGAAAAACUUUGUAAACCUUUUUAAUAUUAAUGGUUUCUCUAAACUCUUAAGAAAUAUUCAUAUAUAAUUCAUAAAUUUUUGAAAAAAACUUUCAUAAAUCCUUUUAGUUAGACUUUUUAUCAUUUAGGAAAGCGUUCCGAAAAGUUUAAAAUGGCUUCCUAAAUCAUUAGAAAUGCUCUGCAAACCUAUUAGUGUUUCUAGAGGGUUUGAAACUCUUAGGAAACAUAUAUAAACCCUUCAUAAAAUUCGUAAUAAGAAUUUCUUAACAUUUAGAAAAGCAUUCCUAAAAAUUUAUAAAAGCUUUCUAAAACGUUGAAAAGCUUCUUAGAGCACUAGAAAUGCUUUGUAAAUCUUUUGAAAUUUCGAGGGUUUAAAAACAUCUUAAGAAAACUCCUUGAGAAACCCUUGAAAAAAACAUUCUUCAAAAUUUAGGUGGUCAUUUUCUUGUUUCUUGAUUAUGAAAUAAGACAUUGCUAAAUUUGUAUGAACCUUUUCCAAUAUUUAUAGAUGCUUCCUAAAUUUAGAGUUUCCGAAAGCCUUCUUACUUUUUAGGAAUCAUUUUUACAAAUUUAAGAAUGUCCUCCUAAAUCGUAUAUUAACCAAUUCAUAUUAAGUUCACAUAUUAGGAUCAGAAGACAUUCUUCUGAUUAGCUAAACAAAUAUUGUUUGAAGCUUGGGGAAUACGGGCUUCGGGCCCAGAACCUCUCGGUAAUCUAAAAAAAAAAUGUAGAUAUAUUGUUUGAAUAAACACAAAAGAGAAUCAUGCGAUGAAGAGGAUGGGACUACGAGCAGUCGAGCAAGAUUCAAUUUGCAUUCAGCUGCGAGGAAAAUAACAUGAUACUUGAGUUGCGGAGUACAGACUUUUGAGUAGUGGAAGCAGCAAGUAUUAUGUCAUUUUCAAACGAAUUAAAAGUCGGUUUAGUUAUCAAACCAAAUUUACAAUUGGAAGGGGGUUUAGAAUCAUAAUUUGAAUCUUUUCACGGUGGUGGUGGUGGGGGGGGGGGGGGGGGGGUUUAGAACCCUCAUUUUGAAUCUACCUAGUUAGUCUUCUUCUAAUUUAUCUCCUGUCGGAUUCUGAUAUUUUUAUCUCUGAGCUCAAUUUACAAAUUCAUAUUCCGGUUUACAAAAUAAAAACAAGCCAGUGGUCAAAUGUCUUUGGUCUUUAAGCAUUUUGCUUUCAGAUGUAUAAAGAAGGGAUUUGUUUCUUCCUCCAGGCUCCAUAGAUAUCUUAUCCAAAGCCACUGUGAUAGAUACUUUCUUCAACCUCUCUGUUUACUCUCUCUCUCUCUCUCUCUCUCAGUCUCUAGUCAAAGCCAGUGGUCCUCUCCUCGGCGGCUAUAAAAACAAAAGAAAACAAACUUUUGAAACAAGCCAGUAGUUUCCAGUACAGUUCUCAUACGAAAAUUCCUUUGAAUUUUCCUCUCCUCUUUACCCGUUUGGCUUAUAUAGAUGAACUAAGAAAGCUUGUUUCCUCAAACCACUGCUAUACUUUCUUCAAACUCUCUUUUGCUCUAUCUCUCUCAUGGCUUCUUCUUCUCCUGCUUCUCCUUGUGCUUAUAUUAAGAGAUACGAUGUCUUUCCAAGCUUCAACGGGCCAGAUGUUCGUAAAGGACUCCUCAGUCAUUUACACGAUCACUUUUUAAGGAAGGAAAUCAAAAUGUACAAGGAUGAUAAGAUGGAGAGAUGCAAUACGAUCAAACAUGAACUCGUGAAAGCGAUUAGAGAAUCGAGGGUCUUGAUGGUUUUGCUCUCGAAGAACUACGCUUCUUCCAUCUGGUGUUUGGACGAACUGGUGGAAAUCUUGAAGUGCAGAAAAGAUAAGGAACAGAUUGUGAUGCCUAUUUUCUACGACGUUGAUCCGUUCCAUGUACGCACACAGAGCGGUGACUUCGGGAGCGCUUUCGAGAAAACCUGCGAAAACCAAACAGAGGAAGUGAAGCAGAGAUGGGUCGAAGCUUUGAAAUGUGUAACGACCAUAGCUGGAGAACACUCUUGUAACUGGUUUGUUUUUGUGCUCAAUGAACCUGCAAGAAUCCUUUUUAUCUUUCGUUUAAGAUUUUGUUUUUUUCCAGGCCUGAUGAAGCUGCGAUGGUCCAAAAGCUUUGCACAGAUGUCUUGUACAAACUGAGAGUGGAAGCUAUUAAGGACGAAUUUAGGAAGUACGAUGU